CGCCAACCCCAUCCCCACAAGUUUCUCUCUCUUCAUCUCAAUUUCACAUGAAUCAGCCCCAAUCUCUCUCUUCUUCGCAUAACGCAAUGGACAACCGUACACCAUCAACCAUUCGUGCAUAGCCAUGCACACCAUCGAACAUCGUUGGUCGUCACCCCUUCACUAGUCGUCGGUGCACUUCGUCACCGCAGAUCACCACAACUAGCAGUCGUCGUCGGUGGGUCUUCGUUCGCGCAUGUUUCGAGUCAAGUUGCCGAUCGAGUCUUCAAUUGGUGGGUCGCACCGCCGCUCGUCUUCUCGAUCACAGUCACCACGUCCGCCCAUAACCAUCGACGUCGCUGGAUUUUAUUGAGGUGUGGGUAGGUUUCUUUAUAAUUUUGAGAUUUGGAUGUUUAUGGAUGAGGUUUGGUGUGACCUAUUAAUUUAUAGCCUGAAAUUCUUGUCUUCGUCAUGUGCUCGGUGUAGAUUUUAGAGCGAUAGGGGAUUUGACUCACUGGCCAGCGGGCUUUUUGACACAUUUUUUUGUGAGUUUCUUUGAAGAUUUUGAUUACCCAUGGAAUUUUGGCAUUAGUUGGUUGUUAUCCAUUAAAUUUCAAUUUUUAGAUUGGAGUUCUGGGCGUUGAGCUACUGUCCAGCCAUAAUAAGUUCGAUUUUCGGUGUAUGUUUGGGAUUCCAAAGAACUUGGAAGAGAGAAGGUGGAGGCUUGGAGGCUAUAAAAAACCUCAUUACCCUAGAUGAGAUAUUUAUAUGCUCAUUUUCCUUUAUAUCCUUAGUGUUAA